AUACGUAGGGGGCAAGCGUUAUCCGGAAUCACUGGGCGUAAAGGGUGCGUAGGCGGCCAAUAAAGUCAGAGGUGAAAUCCCAGGGCUCAACCCUGGUCAGCCUUUGAAACUUAAUGGCUUGAGUGCAGGAGAGGAGAGUGGAAUUCCUAGUGUAGCGGUGAAAUGCGUAGAUAUUAGGAGGAACACCAGUGGCGAAGGCGACUCUCUGGACUGUAACUGACGCUGAGGCACGAAAGUGUGGGUAGCAAACAGGAUUAGAUACCCUGGUAGUCCACACCGUAAACGAUGAGUGCUAGGUGUUGGGGGUCAAACCUCAGUGCCGCAGUUAACGCAUUAAGCACUCCGCCUGGGGAGUACGUUCGCAAGAAUGAA
rnacentral:rRNA from 1 species